UCGGGAAUUUUGGGCAAUGGGGGAAACCCUGACCCAGCAACGCCGCGUGAAGGAUGAAGUAUUUCGGUAUGUAAACUUCGAAAGAAUAGGAAGAAUAAAUGACGGUACUAUUUAUAAGGUCCGGCUAACUACGUGCCAGCAGCCGCGGUAAUACGUAGGGACCAAGCGUUGUUCGGAUUUACUGGGCGUAAAGGGCGCGUAGGCGGCAUGACAAGUCACUUGUGAAAUCUCUGGGCUUAACCCAGAACGGCCAAGUGAUACUGUCGCGCUAGAGUGCAGAAGGGGCAAUCGGAAUUCUUGGUGUAGCGGUGAAAUGCGUAGAUAUCAAGAGGAACACCUGAGGUGAAGACGGGUUGCUGGGCUGACACUGACGCUCAUGCACGAAAGCGUGGGGAGCAAACAGGAUUAGAUACCCCCGUAGUCCCUGAGCGGGCUGGCAAGGCGCAU
rnacentral:rRNA from 1 species